rnacentral:pre_miRNA from 1 species
UGGUUGUGUAGCCAAGGAUGACUUGCCGGCCUGGUUGUUCAUCAUCGUCCCAUCAAUUCAGCAUGAACAAGCAUGCUGUUUUGAUGUACAUGUGCAACGGCUCCGUGCACCGUGCCUUGUGAUCGAUCGUCGAUACACCGACGCAUAGUCACAUGGACCGGCAAGUUGUUUUCUUUGGCUACAUGAUAGCCUCG